rnacentral:rRNA from 1 species
AGUGAACGCUGGCGGCGUGCUUAACACAUGCAAGUCGAACGAGAACGGGAUAUCGCUUGCUAUAGUUGUCAGCUAAGUGGCGCACGGGUGCGUAAUGUAUAGGUAAUAUGCCUUUUACUAAGGGAUAACAAAUGGAAACGUUUGCUAAUACCUUAUACUCCUUAUUAACAGAAGUUAAUAAGGGAAAGAUUUAUUGGUAAGAGAUUAGCCUGUAUUGUAUCAGUUAGUUGGUGGGGUAAUGGCUUACCAAGACUAUGACACAUAACUGGUUUGAGAGGAUGAUCAGAAACACUGGAACUGAUACCCGGUCCCGACUCCUACGGGAGGAAGCAGUGGGGAAUAUUGCACAAGGGACGGAAGUCUGAUGCAGCGACGCCGCAUUGAGGAAAACACAUUUCGGUGCGUAAACUCCUACUAUAUGAGAAGAUAAUGACGGUAUUAUAUGAAUAAGCACCGGCUAACUCCGUGCCAGCAGCCGCCGUAA